rnacentral:lncRNA from 1 species
GCCUGUCCAGUUGAGUUUAUUAAGGCUGGGACACUGAAUACAUUCACUAAAAGCAAGACUUGGAAACAACCUAAAUACCCAUUGACAGAUGAAUGGAUAAAGAAGAUGUGGUACAUAUAUGCAAUGGAAUAUUACUCAGCCAUAAAAAAUAACGAAAUAGUGCCAUUUGCAAUGACAUCAGUGGACCUAGAGAUUAUCACACUAAAUGAAAUAAGUCAGAAAGAGAAAGACAAAUACCACAUGAUAUCACUUGAAUGUGAAAUCUAAAAUAUGAUACAAAUGAACUUAUUUACAAAAAAGAAACAGACCCACAGACACAUAAAACAAAUGUAUGGUUACCAAAGGGGAAGGGGUAGGGAGGGAUAAAUUAGGAGUUUGGGCAUAGCAGAUACAAACUACAAUAUACAACACCACAAUGUACAAAACAGAACAAGGUCCAAUUGUUUAACACUGGGAACGAUAUUCAAUAUCCUUAAUAAACCAUACAGGAAAAGAAUAUGAAAAAGAACAUGAACAUAUAUGUAUAAGUGAAUCACCUUACUGUACAUUAGAAACAAACACAACAUUAUAAAUCAAUUACAUUUCAAUUUAACCCCCCCCCAAAAAAAGGUAAAAGAAAAAAAAUGUAAAAAGAGAAAAAGAAAAAAGCAAGCAAGCAAGCAUCCUGCCGGGAUCGUUGCAGCCUACACAGGAAACAACUGGCUGUUCUCUGUGUGUGGCAGGUAUUUCAAAGCUUCAAGGACGCCUCCUGUGGCCCAUCCAGAAACCACAGACUACUUUAGGAGCUCAGACUGACGAGAAGCAAUGAGGCUAAAAUAGACAGAGGACUUCAAGGAGGAAACAGCUUCCCCUGAGUACAAGGGGAGAAGGGAGGUCGUUCCAGGCAAAGACAAGGUUUGGCAGCAAAAAUCAGCGUUACGGAAACCAGCCUGCAGGGAGCAGAGGGUACACAUCAGGCCACGGUUUAGGAAAACAGGUUAAAUGGAGUGUUGAUGCUCGGUUGUGCAGGUCCUUGAAAGCCAGAAAAAGGAGUUUAACCUUGAUAUGCUUGGGAAAAGGGAGCAUCACAAGGACAGCUUAGAGAGUGGAGACCAACAACGAGGAAGACCAAGCAGAUGACUAUUGUUAGUAACCAGAGUCUAAGGAUGGGAGCUAAACCGGUUGCUGUAAGAAAGAGAAGCAUUUCUGAGAGGAACAUGGGACGGAGUAAACAACCCAAUUCACAUAACCAGCCACGAUGCAGCAGAGAGAGUGGAGGACCUGGCACCACGAACCUCUCCACGGCGUCCAUGAAACACGCGCGAGACCCCCCCUUGGCUUUCAUUCAUCACACAAGCCUUGACUCAAAAUUCCAGAACGUUUUCCUGUUCCCCAUCCGAGUCAUAGAACUUCUUGCAAAAGGAGAAAGAUGAUGUGUGUUGCUGUUAUCAUUAUGAGGAGAGCCGGUCAUCACACGGCCUUGGUCACAGAAACUGCUUCCCGCUUGCUUUUCACAGGUACUGUGUUCUUCCUUUUCUUUGCUUAUGGCUAUUUCACCCCAAACAAUUCAACCAAAAGACCAGGCUUCUCCCACACCUGCCCCUGCUUCCUGCUUCAUUCUUUCUUCCAUCUUGGAUUCCACUAUUGCAAAACAACAGAGAAGUCCAGAGGAAAGAUUUUGCUUUGCCUAGCCAAUAAAACAUACCUCCUGUUUUAUUUGCAGUGGGGAAUAUGCCAUCUAUUUUCACUUCCCAGCCCUCACCCCCCAGGCAGAAUCUGCUGUCUCCUGGGAAUUUCCCCCAAAUAUUGGAAAUACUAGCAACAGACAUUUAAUGAGGGCCCAGUAGGAUAUGCUCAGUUUCCUGUCUCUUUAUUAGGAACUGGGGUAUUUUUUCUUCUCCACAUCAGACCUGAAGGAAAUGGUGAGGUCUUUCAUGUUUCCAAUAGUCUCCACGGAUAACUUACUUAAUGUCCCAAAGAUAACAAAUUAUAGGAGUAGGCAUCAUUUAAACAAAAUGCCCCUCACACAAUUUUUAUAUACUUGUCUUGAUAACAAUUUGAUUACAAGUUACACACUAUCCAGUUUUGAUGUAAAUAUAGUCGCAAUUUAAAAAUCCUUAUCCACUUUGCCAUGUUCUACAAGUUCCUCAAAGCAAAGAACAAUUCAGUUUUAUUUUGGAAAUACUGCUCAUUAGGAAACAGAACUUAGUUCAUAAUGCUUAUGUGGUCUCUUAAAAUUAUUUGAAUAAUAGACAUACAUAAAUUUGCCGGAAUAGGGUCAAUAUAUUUUUUCCCUAAAAGUGACUUUUUACCAUUUAUAUUUUAUAGUAAAUAUACUAUCGAGUGAGACAUUUGAAAGAGUAACUGUAGUGCCAUGUACACAAAAAAGUUUAUUUAUUAAUGAAAAUAAAAGAACUACAUUUCCUAAGAAGAAAGCUGAAAAACAGCAUUCCAUACAUGACAGUAAAGGUUUCCAGGGACAACCUUCCAGCAACAAGAAGAAAUGAAAGAAGGCAGGGUUAUUCUAAGCCAUAGAGUGAGUUCACUAGGUUCUAGGACGACUGGUUGACCUGCUGACUCCCUGAGCAUCCCUGCCAACUCUUCAAAAGGUAAGAGGUGCUUCAGGGAGCAGGGCCAAGGGCAGGGGAUCUGUGUUUCCUGGAAAUCACCGUGGUGUCGGGUCUUUUCGGAAUUGAAUCAGCUUCAUGGGAUACAAACACACAGACAUAUAUGCUAUCUAUGGAAAACAUAUACAAGUCUGGUAAUUUGACUAGAAAUUGUCUUAGUGGACGAUCACAGAGUGUUUGAAAGGAGGGUUUUAUCUGGGGGCAUAUAUUUGUAUUCUACUCAUGGAUAAUUAAGAACUCUACCUUGAUACAAAGCGUAGAACCACUGAUGAUUUGAGAUGCUCUUUGAAACAAGCUGAAAGGACAAAAGUUUAUAAAACCACAGUGAUAAAUGUGGAUCAUGAAACAAAAGGUGAAAUAACUAAAUAACACACACUUAUUUAUAUACAUAUUGCAAUUAUGAUGUUUAUAUCAAAGUAUCCAUUGUCUUACGUCAUCCUAGAUUUAAAAACAAAGAUCCAGGGGUUCCGGUUGUGGCUCAAUGGUAAUGAACUCGACUGGUAUCCGUGAGGAUACGGGUUCGAUCCCUGGCCCCAUUCAGUGGGUUAAGGAUGCGGCACUGCCAUGAGCCAUGGUGUAGGUCACAGAUGCCGACUGGGAUCCCACGUUGCUGUAGCUGUGGCAGCUGCAGCUCUGAUUUGACCCCUAGGCUGGGAACUUCCAAAUGCCAGAGGUGUGGCCCCAAAACAAACAAACAAACAAGCAAACAAAAGAUCCUUCUCAAUCUCUGACUCUUGAGUUGACUGCACUGACUUUGACAUUCAGAAAAACCUUGGGUAAUUAAGGCUUUCGGUGUCUCUAGCCUAGCUUCGAAGGGGAAUAUUUUAACAAGCUUCUAUAAACUAGACAGAGGGUAACCACAUAACUUAUUGUCCAAACCAUGACAGUUUUGAGAGGAAAAAGGGGGCACUAGCCAGAUGGCACAUGAAGAAAUGAGGCAUAAACUGGUGUCUUCAUCGUCCCUUUGAGAGAUUUCUGCAUCAGGGACAUCCAGCACUUGCCUACACGUCCAGCAUCCAUCAAUCACAUGACCACCAAAAUUACACACAACGUAUCUGUCAACUAGAGGGAAGAUAAAAGACUUUCAAAGACUAAAGACAAAAGUGAUGGCAGGUUAUCGCCGGAUGACUCUGUUUAAGAUGUGCUGGAAUAAUAUCUGUGAAGAAUUCACAGAUUAUUUUUCUUUGACCCUGUCCCAGCUUUUAAAACUUUCCCUCCCUUGUCGCCUCUGGGAAGGGCUGUUACAGAAGAAAGCAGAUUUAAAAAGAGACUCGUAGCUUUUAAGUUUCAAAACCUGGGCCCUGGGGGGAACUGAACAGACACCCAGCAGUUUUCAGAAAAAAAGAAAAAGAAGAAAAGAAACAAAAAUCAGUAGCUGGCACCUAGAAAACAAACUUGUGAUCGCCCAAGGGAGGCAGGGCGGGAUAAGUUAGGAGUAUGGGAUUAGCAGGUACAAACUACUCUGCAUAAAGGAGAUAAGCAGUGAGGAUUUACGGUAUAGCACAGGGACACAGAGUCAGUAUCUUGUCAUAACCUGUAAUGGAAAAAAAUCUGAAAAAAAAAUAUAAAAGAAAAUAAGAACCUGCCUUCAGGCCUGGAGGGUGGAAGGAGAGCAGAGCUGAGAGGAAAAGACAAGAGCGCAGAAGCUUGGGGUCCUUGGGAGAAGGGCGUCUGCACUUCCUCGCCCCAUCCCGCAAGCUGAAUUGAGAUCUGCGGGAAUCUACGGGAUUUAGGAGAAGCAAGAGUGGAGGUGAAGUCCUGCGGGCGGGAAGAGCCUGUGGGAGAACGAGCACCUUCAACAGCCUUGCCCACAUCCCCAAGGUGGUAGAGAAACCACGGGAUGCCCUCAUUGUGUCCAAGAGGGUACCCAGUGACUCUGACAUCUUCCAGGGUUUUCCCCUCCCCAGCGUGUCCUGGCAACACCUGACUGAGCAGCAGCAGAAUGAGAGCUGCUGCCCGAAGAGCCCGAACCACAGUGGGCUUUAGGAAUAAGCCUGGGAGCUGACUGAGCAUCCACUGAGGUGACAGUGGCCCCAGAAGAUGUCAGGGUGGCCCGAUGAUGCCAACCUCACACCCCGCCACUCCGAGAACACAGGCACUACUGUGGGAAAAGGAAGGAGAAAUGCCAAUUUAACUGAAAUUAUGUUUCUGCCAUCCCAGGGGGAGGCGCGACAACAGAACGUGGGUUGAGCUAGAGGAGGAGAAAGCCCUGUCCAUUUCUUGUACACCUGUGUUGGUGGAUGAGAACCUGAGCCCAGAACGUAGACAAGGACGUUCAGGAUGGCAGCAACAGUGCAACCUAGUCUAAAACAACGAAAAGGAAGAAUGUCACCCGGAGCAGCUUUGAAUCCAGCCCUCCCUCACCCACACGGUGAGUUCAAACAGGCCCUCUGCCCUGCCAUUGCUUUUAAAUCCACCUCUACACAUUCUGUUAGGAAGACCUUUCAAUGUCAUUUCCUUGACACCAUCUCCGUCCUUCUCUCUCCAAGGCCCCCGCCUCAGCUCAGACAUGCGUCAUGUCUCUUUGCACUAACAUAUUAAUAGUAACAAUAUCGGCAACAACAAACUAACAUUUAUUUGGACCCUCAUGUGGCAGACAUUGUGCUGUUUUCUGUGUCUAUUAACUCUUUCAGUUGUCACAUCAAUCCUAUGAGGUACUUGCUGUCUUUAUCCCCAUUUCACAGAUGAGAAAACUGAGAUGCCAAGAGGCCAGGUAAAUUGUCCAUGGCCAUAAAGCUAGAAAAUGGGAAGCCAGAAAAUCUGGGCUCAGCAUCUGCCCCCAGAGCUAUUUCAAAAGACUAUUUUUAUACUCCCUCGUCCUAGUUCCGAACUCCCCCUGCAUCUGAUAUUGCGCCUCUCUCUUCCGCACCAUUGCCUAUGGAGUGUUUCUAAAGCAGAAAUCCGAACAGAGUACGUCUUCCAUAAAAUCCCACAAAGGCUCCCCAUUACCUUAGCAUAAAAUUAAACUUCUUAGAAAGCUGACAUGAUUUAGCUUCUGCCUGUCCAGUGUCAUCCCACAGGCAUAUUUUCCUGGCAAUAUAGAAUUUUCCUGACAUGUAGUACUGGUAGUUAUUCCCUGACCCAAGAGAAUGGACAGGAUGUCACACACACACAUACACACACACACACACACACACACACACACACACACACCCCAAUCCUCACCUGCUCCUUUUAAGAGUUCACGCGUAUGACUCCUGGUUUUAGAAGCAUGUUUCUAACAUCCUAACCUAAAAUAUAUAAUACUAAAUUCUAAUCAAUAACUGCCUUGUGGAGUUCCCAUUGUGGCUCAGAGGAAACGAAUCUAAAUAGUAUCCAUGAGGACAGAGGUUCGAUCCCUGGCCUCGCUCAGUGGCAACUAUCUUUUUGAAUAUCUGUUACAUGCCAGAUAUUGGGCGAGGUGUCAGUGACAUGAAAAUGAGUAAGCUCUCGUUCCUGUCCCAGUUACUCCAGAGAGAAAAUUAGUUCCAGCUUGGAGGUUGUAUAAAAUAGAUUGUUCAAAUACUUUAACCAUCAAUAAUUUUGCCAAAAUUGGCGUACCUUCUGCUCUUUACUGCUACUCAAACACUGAAGAGUUCCCACUUUGGUGUGAAAUACUAAUAUCCAUCAGCUCAGUUGGAUCCAGGGAGCAUGGGACCGACUGGCAAUAUGACAUAAGUACAAGCAGUCGUGACAGUAAUGUGUGGGAGUGAGUAAGGGUCACAGAAGACCCACAGAACGUCGAAGGUGUUUCCUAGUUUAGCUCAGAUACUUGUGUGAAAUUUCCCAACCAACCCGGGAACAAGAGGCUCGGCAGAGAUUAUCUCAUUAAGUGAAGUGACCAGUCUCUAAAGACUCUCAACGUUGCUGUUACUUACCUGCUAAACAUCCUAUGUAUGGAACGCCUCUAGUCCAUGU